rnacentral:lncRNA from 1 species
UUUCAAUUACAACAUAACUUUCGAAAUUGUCUUCAGUCACCACAUCUUUUCCGUCACUAAUCCGCUGUGUUUCCGUCACUCAUAUUUCCAAAACUUGCUCCGUUUUCGAAUUUCUCACAUAUAUCAAUGGGAAAUAGACAAGCAAAACAGCAAGCAUGCUGCAAUCAAUACGAAUUUCCGGCCUCUACUGCUCCAAACGUUUCACUUCCGAGUCAUAAUCAUACUCGCAAUUCGAAUAGUAACCAGGUCAAACUACCCAAUCUGUAUGGAGCUGAAGCUGCACAGACUGGAAUGGCACGAGUGCACAAGGUAGAGAUGAGAAUGGAAGACAAUGAUGGUGCAUUUUCUGACUACAUUAACCGCACGAAAUUCAAGAUCAGUGCUACGACCUCCAAUGCUGGUAUCGAGAAGGCUGCAUCCGCAGCAGAUGGUGUUUAUGAAACAAAGCAAGAAGAUGAUGAAUAUCAUAUGUUUACGGAUUUUGUUAAUCGCUCUAAGUCUAAGAUUAAAAAGACCUUCAGCAUCGGAAGCAGAAACAACAUCUCCUUUAAGAAGUAGGAGACUCAAAGUCUACAACCAUAUGCGCGGCGUGGUGAUUGCCGGCAUGUUCACGGAUUGUGUUCUUUCUCUCUAUCUCCCUUUUUAAUUAUUUCUCAUAUUUUACAUGUUAUGUGAUGUUGUCCAAUUGUCCUGUAUGUUUUAUGAGUCAAUAAUGUUAAAUUAUUCAUGUGUUUCUAAAGCCAAUGUGCUAUUAUAAAUAUGCUCUUUUCGAGCAAUCUUUGAGAAUGUAUGUAACGAUGAUGUUUGAAUGAAGAAAUAUCUUAUCGAUUUACGCACAUAAUUAGGGAUCUUUAAUAUGCAUAUAAAUCAUGUGAUUCAGGAAAAUGUGACUUCCUAAAAAGUGUGGCUUCUAUGCAUUGCAGCAAGCUUCAGACACGUAGUUUUUCUCCAAAUUCUGGACAAUUGGCAUAUGAUCUUCACCUCUUCAAGGAUAAAUUUUUCAUUGUGAUUGGAACAAUCUCUUGAGAUAGAGGCUACAAUUUAAAAGGCGAGACUCCUCUGCAUCUCUAUUUUGGAUAUGGAUUGUCUGCUCCCCUUCCCAUACCCUCUCCAUGCCCUCCUAUUUCUGUGGUCACGGUUAAGCCACGUCAACAUUUUAUAUUCCAACUGCUUUUUGUAUUAUUAUUUUUAUAAAAAAAUCAAUAUAAAAUGUUGACGUGACUUAACCGUGACCACAUAAUAUAGGAGGGCAUGGAAAAGGUAUGAGAUGGGGAAGACAGAUCCAAGUCCCUCUAUUUUUGUACGCGCAAAUUGGACCGAGAUAAUAGAAACUAAAUCUAACCUAAACUACAUAUAUAGGGUUGAUUCCAUCGAGGCAAUAAAACAUCUAAAUAAUAUUCUACUUUAUACGCAGUUGCUGGAUAUCCCACUUUUAUGAAGAAUUUAUGGGCUAGGAAUAUGAUUCCCAUACAUCAGUUCAUAUGUAUUUUUCAGUUUUCGAGCAAGGAUCGCAAGGACAUGCUCUCGAGAUUUCUCAUUAGUUCAUCUCCUAACCUUAUUAGUAGUUUGGCAUUGUUAACAGCGCCGGUCCAGAAAUUUUUGAGGUCCGAAACGACAUAAAAAAAAGUGCCCUAACUUCAUGUAAGAAAAUUAUACUUAGAAAAAUACUUCAAACUCAAUAAUUUAGAAACACAGAAAGACUAAUUUAUUUUGUAUUGAGAGAGGGAAACAAAAAAACUUCGGGCUUACAAGUAGAUAGAUGAUGAAUUUUGUUUUCCAUUUGAACCUUGAAUGUGUUUUUUAAUAAAUCGUGAGAUGUUUUUUUCUUAUUUACUAACCUUGUCAAUAUGGGACUAAAAAAUAAUGAUGUUUUCGAGUCUUUAAUUGAUAUGUAUUUGUAGACAUCGAAAUUUCGGUAAAUAAAUGUUGACCGAUAAAUCAAAGUGUCAACGCUCAUGUAUUACAUAAAUUUUACACGUAGCGUGUGACUCAACGAAAAUUGAAAUAAGUUGGAAAAGUCAUCAAAUAGGAUACGUGUCAACACCUGGCAGAAACGACUUAUUUCAUCUGGAAUAUUAUAUUCAAAAUUAGGCCUUGGAAAAUUCUAUAAAUACAAGCCCAUUUCAUUCAUUUGAAGAACCAAUUCAUAUUACACCUUGAAGCUUUGAAGCUCUGAAACUCCGAAGCUCUCAAGCAUCCAGGUUCCCGAAGAAUCAAGAAAGCUCUCUUCGUUCUUCGUUCAUCGUUCAUCCAAGAUCAAGCCCCAACGGCCCUUUGGAUCAACAAUCAUCCACCAAUUCAAGAUCAAGCCCCGACGGCCCUUGAAGAAAGCACCAUCGUUCAUCAUCCGUUCAUCCAAGAUCAAGCCCCAACGGCCCUUUGGAUCAACAACGUCGACAAAUCCACACACAUCCAACCGUUCUUCAAGAUUAAGCCCAAAAGCCCUUGAAGAUCUGUUCAUCACUGUUUCUUCAAGAUCAAGCCCAAAAGCCCUUGAAGAUCCGCUCAUCACCGUUAUUCAAGAUCAAGCCUCAAACGGCCCUUGAAGAAACAUUCAUCCUCAAAAUCAAGCCCCAACGGCUCCUUGAAGAUCCGCUCAAAUCCACCUUCAAAGAUCAAGCCCACGGCCUUUUGAAGAAACUUCCAAACAGUUCAUCCAAGAUCAAGCCCCGACGGCCCUUGGAUCAACGAAACAUCCAUAAAUCAACACCUUAUGGAGAUCGAAUCAGAGGAUCAAAUUUGAGAGAGAUUGUAACCCAAAAAUCAUCAAAUCCAAAUAUUUGUUUGUGCACGUUGUUCUUGUCUCAUUCGUUUCAGGAAUUUUCCGUGUUCACAAAUUGGCACGCCCGGUGGGAUAAUCUCUACCUCUCAUCUCUUUCUCCGUUCAAGAAAUUCGAGCACACUUCCAAAAUUAAUGGCUUCAAGGAAGGCUCAAACUGUUCCUGCAACUGGCGCAAAGAACAAGAGCGCCCUCGUUGCAACUAGUGUCACUUUGGGCAUCACGACUCGAAGCAUGGCAAGAGCUACUUCUGCCGCCUCUUUCACCUCUGCAUCAACUCUGCCAAGGGAACAAAAGCACCCAAGGCAUGAGCCUUUGAUCACCUUAGCCUCACUAAGGGCACCAAGGGGGGAAAGCCCAAGGAAAUACUUCGAAUCCAUGCUCUCCGAUGCCGAUUCAAGCAACAGUUCAGCCAUGCAAGUCAUGACCAUUGGAGCAACUUCAAUCGAUGAGCAGCUGGCUCAAAUGAAUGAAGCAAUCGCAAGGCUAACCCGAACUGUGGAAGAAAGACUUGCAAAUUGCAGCACUAGUCAACCGACUGGAGGCGCAGGACGGCGAUAAACCCGACCUAGAGGAUGAUCCAUUAAAGGGAGGAGCUGGCGGAGACGAAGAACCCCCGGUGAAGAAAAUCGAUGGGAAGCCGGAGCCAGACCAAGCAGUGGCACUCAUGGGAUCUCUCUCUAUCCAGCAGCUGCAGGAGAUGAUCACUAACACCAUCAAGGCACAGUACGAAGGGAGCUCACAUACCUCCUUGUUCUACUCGAAGCCCUAUUCCAAGAAGAUUGAUGCCCUAAGGAUGCCAAGGGGUUAUCAACCACCAAAGUUCAUGCAGUUUGAUGGAAAAGGAAACCCAAAGCAGCACGUUGCACAUUUCGUCGAAACUUGCAACAACGCGGGGACGGAUGGAGACUACCUCGCCAAGCAGUUUGUGCGCUCGCUGAAAGGAAAUGCCUUUGAGUGGUACACGGACCUAGAGCCUGAGUCCAUCAACAGCUGGGAGCAAUUAGAGCGGGAAUUCCUCAACCGCUUCUACAGCACCCGCCGCACUGUGAGCAUGCUAGAGCUAACGAGCACAAAGCAGUGGAAGGACGAGCCAGUCAUUGACUACAUCAACAGGUGGCGCACUCUGAGCCUUGACUGUAAAGAUAGGCUCUCGGAAACCUCUUCAAUCGAGAUGUGCAUCCAAGGCAUGCAAUGGGGUUUGCAAUACAUCCUUCAAGGCAUCAAACCACGGACCUUCGAAGAGCUAGCCACCGCGCGCCAUGACAUGGAGUUGAGCAUCGCCCAUCAUGGGAAGAAAGAACCGAUCACCGACUACAAGAACGACAAAGUUCUUGGGACAAAGGGGGAAAAGGCUGCAUGGAAACCCACCAAGGAAGCGAUGACGGUCAACACAGCUCCCGUCAAAAUAUCCACACGAGGCAAGGCGAUUCAAACCGAAGCUUUUCGUGAUCAAGAGAUGCGUAGACGCACUUUGAAAGAGCUUGAGGAGAAGACUUAUCCAUUCCCCGACUCUGAUGUGGUUGCCAUGCUGGAUGACCUGUUGGACAAGAAGGUGAUCAGUUUGCCUGAGUGCAGACGGCCGGAAGAGAUGAAUCGUACCGACAGCCCAAGAUACUGUAAAUUCCACCGCUUCAUCAGUCAUCCGACAGAAAAAUGUUUCGUGCUGAAAGAUCUCAUCAUGAAGCUGGCUCAGAAAGGAAUCAUCGAGCUAGAUCUUGACGAAGUGGCGAAGUCAAACUAUACCACCUUCACUUCUGGCUCUUCCGACUCAAAGUUUUCACCUCAAUCGCUGGGGGCAUCGUCCAAGACAAGCAAAAUUGAAGGAUGGACUCAAGUCACUCCUAAGAAAUUGCACAAGAAGCAUACGUCUCCUCCACAAGUCCACCAAUCAGAAAGGGGGCAAAGCAGCUCUUGUCAACCUUCAAAGCAACAUGAACGUGUUGAAGAUGAUGAAACUUCGACACAAAGAUCGUCCGUCCCCAUCACGAUGCGCGACUUCUUGCCCGAAGACUUCUUCAAUCACGUGGUCAAAGCUCCUUGCUAUGAAAAUUGUGAGGAACGCCUCUCCCGGAUUGCUUGACAAAAUUCAUAAAUGCUCCUCGCCUGCACGAGCCUAAACUGCAUGGCACAAUGCUCCUUGUUCGCACGAGCCUAAACUGCAAGACACAAAGCUCCUUGUCUGUAAGAGCCUAAACUGCAAGACACAAUGCUCCUUGUUCGCACGAGCCUAAACUGCACGAACCAAAGCUCAUUGUCCGCACGAGCCUAAACUGUAGGACACGAGGCUCCUCGCCUGCACGAGCCUAAACUACAUGGCCCAACGCUCCCGAUCCGCAAGAGCAUAAAAGGCGACAUCAACGCUCCUGAUCCGCACGAGCAUAAAAGGCAACACCAAAUGCUCCUUGUCUGCACGAGUUGAAACUGCAUACGAUACCAAAAGCUCCUUGUCUGCACGAGUUGAAACUGCAAACGACACCAAAUGCUCCUUGUCUGCACGAGUUGAAACUGCAAACGACACCAAAUGCUCUUUGUCUGCACGAGUUGAAACUGCAAACGACACCAACACUCCUUGCCUGCAUGAGUUCGGCACAAAAAAAAAUACCAUAAAUAUGUAUGUAUUUUGAACUACGUUACGACUUGAUCUCUUUUUUUGGAGGGGUACGUAGGCAGCUCGAAUAUUCAAAAUUUGAGUUCAGUCACACCAGAAUAAAGAUUUUUAUUAAAAGUUUGAUGCUAUUACAAUUUCUUUGUACAAAAAAAAAGGAAAAAAAAAAAAAAAGAAAAAGAGAAAAAGAGAUACAUGUUUUAUGUAUUUACAAAAAAAAAAAGAAAAAAAAAAAAACAUAUGUUUUAUGUAUUAUUAAAAUAUAUAUAUAUAUAUAUAUAUAUAUAUAAAGGGCCUCAGAAGUAGCCCGUGUCCAAAUCCAAUCUAGGCCCAAGCCCAACUUACCUCUUUUCCGUUUUUGAUCCUUCUCUCUCUCUCUCUCUCUCUCUCAAAUCAAUCUCAAUUAAACAAUACCAUUUUCAAGUCGGACACCACACAGACGCAGCUGAACAAAGUCGGUGGGGAGGAGAGAGAAACCAGAUAGAGAGAGAAAGCGGAAGCGGAAGCUCACAGGAGAAAACCCGAAGCCAACCACGCCCGCUGGGGCUCAGAGCGACCGCCGCUGAUCCAAUCGCCACCUCAGAUUCCGGCAGCUCCUCUGUCCGCAUUAUCGCUGGAAUGGCAGAUUCCCAUCUCCUCGACGCUCACGGGGGUUGAAAUGAACGAGAUGCAGAUCGGCAAAGCUCACGACGCGGACAAGGCUUUCCCUGGAUGCUUGGGAAGAAUGGUGAACCUCUUUGAUUUGGGUAAUGGGGUUUCUGGAAACAAGCUGCUCACUGAUAAACCGCACCGUGAUGGCUCUUCACUCUCAAGGAGUCAAUCGGAUGGCGGCCCACGGCCCGGCCUUCUGCGACAUAACCUGGGGUGCCGGUGGCUCCACGACGGAUCUGACGCUGGACAUUGCCAACAAGAUGCAGAACCUCAUCUGUUUGGAGACCAUGAUGCACCUCACCUGCACACCCAUCACCGUUCAUCCAUCGUUGACCAAAUCAACCAGGCGUGUCGAAAGUUCGGUUUCUUCCAGGUCACAAAUCACGGAAUCCCGUUGGCAGCUCUGGACCGUACGAUCUCAGCCAUCAAGGCCUUUCACGAGCAGCCGGCGGAGGUCAAAACACGGGUCUACCGUAGGGAUAUGGUGACGGGCGUAAAUUAUGCCUACAACUUCGACCUCUACAGCUCAAAAGCCGCCAGCUGGAGGGACACGCUAGCAGUUAGGUUGGGUCCCACGCCGGCGAAUCCUCUAGGGGUGCCUGAGAUCUGUCGGGAUGCGGUUGCUGAGUGGGAUCAGGAACAAAUCUUGAAUGACAACCAGCCUGAUAUGGAUGAUUGCGAGGGCUGUGAAAAUCAAGAUGAGGAACCGGUUGCAAUGGUUAAAGAGUCACCUUCAGGGGAUGAAGCUGCAAACAGCAAUGACUCAGACUGGGGAAUGGAUUGUUCUACAGUUGUGAGAGUUAAAACAUUGCACAUUAGCUCUCCAAUUUUGGCAUCCAAAAUUGUCCCUUCUUUCUCUGCUCAACAAGAACUCAGCAGUCAUUCACUCAGCGUCCUGGAUGUUUGACUAGCCUCGCUACUCGCCGAGUCGUCGUCCCGAUCCGACCCAAAGCCUACACCGACUGCGCUAACGUAUGCCCCUGCGGUUGCUGCGCCACGACGUCGUCUUCCUCGUCUUCUUCUUCGUCCUCUCGCUUCCCCCGCCGGCGACGGCGUCCGAGUCUCCAAGAUUCUCGAGAGCGAGCCGUCUUUUCGGCGGUCCCGGUCGGUUGCGGUCCCUUUUCUGCGCUCCACGUCGAAGUUUCUCGGCGGCGCUUUUAGACACGCGGACUUUGACUUCGCCGGUGACAGGAGUGAGCCCCAGAGCGGCGGACGGACUAAAACACCGUCGUUUUGGUCGUCGGUAUUCCGGUCGUCUCACAGGAGUAAGACAAGCGAGGUUAAUAAUGGAGAACACGAGACGACGGCGGAGAAGAAAGCCGAGGGCGAAAUCCAAGAGGAGGAAGAAGACGCAGAUGCUGCGAUGAGAAGGAAGAUGAUGAGAAAAUCGAGGUCGGUGGCCGUGCCGAUGAUGUCUUCAAAAGCUGGUGACAAUGUGAGGGUUCUGCUCACUGCUAUGUUCCAUGAUGUGUGCAGCUGACCCUCGCCAUGGUCGGUAUUUGACUGCCUCAGCCAUGUUCAGGGGUAAAAUGAGCACAAAGGAAGUUGAUCAGCAGAUGAUCAAUGUCCAGAACAAGAACUCUUCUUACUUUGUGGAAUGGAUUCCCAACAAUGUCAAGUCUACUGUAUGUGACAUCCCUCCCGACAACGGCACAUCUACCCCGGAGCCUCAAUCCAUUGCUUCGCACGCUAACCCUGCUCUCUCUCCAGCAACAUCUCUUUCUGCACCACCGUCAUCUGCUCCUGCCUGGUUUCGGUGAUAGUCAACAACAACGGCAGAGAAAGCAGAGGGGCUCGGAAUCAACCAUCUCAUCGUCCACAUCGGUCUUGUCCUGGAGCUCCUGGACAAUCAGCUCCGAAGUCGUCAGAGGCCGCUGUUGCGUCGUGUGUGAAAGCUAUGCCUUCGUAUCCUCGCCCAGCGCUGCAUCUCCUCCGUCUCUUGCCUCGCAACUGCCAGCAACUUCAAAGACCGCUGUCAAACGACUAGCCGGCCGAGAAGCUCUUCCUCAAGCUCCAGCUCUAAGUUCCUCCUUGCUCCGCUCCCUACAAAUCCCUCCGCCAAGCACCCUAAUUUAUACAAAAAGAAAGACAAUUAAAAAAAAAAAAAAAAAAAAAAAAAAAAAAAAAAAAAAAAAAAAAAAGGUGGUGGUGCAUCUGGCACCACGUGACAAAAGAGGAAUGGUGGAUCAAAGAUGGGGUACAGCCCCAUGGCAGAUCAAAAGUUUCUGGUGGUGCAUGGGCACCAUGUGCAGAAAGAAAAAAAUAAAUAAAUAAAAUAAUUGUAAAAAAUAAUAAAAUAAUUAAAAAUAAUUAGAAAAAAAAAAAAAAAACGAUGGAACUUGGUGCAUCCAGCACCAAAAGAAAAAGAAAAAAAAAAAUGCAUAGAGAGAAAUAGAAGGUUCAUUUUAUUUAUUUUUCUGAAAAUUAUACAUAAAUUUGCAUUAUACAUAAAUUAAAAAAAAAAAAAAAAAAAAAAUCAAAUCAAAUCAAAUUUACAAGAGGGGAUAUUCAAGGACGAUCAGGUGCCGCCUCACAACUCGGCGGAGCUCCAGGAAGAGAAGGCGUCGGAGGUUGGCUGUUUGAAGCCUCAGCAGUCGGUACAGCCCCAGAAGACGAAGGUAAAUGCUGCUGGAACAAACCCACAAACCUCCGAUGAUCAAGUAAAAUCUGACCAUCAGAUUCCUGCAUCUGGUCAAUUUUCCUCUUCAUGUUUGUGGCAUAGUUGUGUGCAAGCUUGUGCAACUGUUUAUUCUCAUGCUUGAGCCCUCUGAUCUCCUGUUUGAGACUCAUCACUUCAGCCACCAACGAUUCAACUUGACGGGUUCGAGCAAAUAGGCGUUGGGCCAUGUUGGACACAGAACCCGCACACUGCACACUAAGAGCCAGGGACUCCUUAACAGCCAACUCAUCAGACCGCCUGGAAAGUAGUCUGUUAUCUUUGGGAGUGACAAGGUUCCGGGCCACCACCGCAGCGGUCAUAUCAUUCUUCAUCACCGAAUCCCCAACGGUAAGAGGACCAGUAGGGGAUAUGAAUGAUGGGCGCCAUAUGUUGUCUGGAGAAGGCGGGACUGCCUCUUCACCAAGAUUCAAGUCAAAACGACGGUCGGAGGGUCCAGACAUUUUCAAAGUGUUGAAGGAAGAAGAGAUCGGACAAAUCAAGAUCUUAGAAGUGCAAGAGGGGAGUUUUCACAAGCGAAAAUUCAAGUGUGCUUUGAAACGAACUGCAUGCCUCUAUAAAAAAUCAGCACUCGACGGGAUUUCAGAGAUCGAAGAGGCGAGCUCAGAAUUCGAAGAGGCCAUUCAAAAAUCGAAGAGGCAAGCUCAGAAAUCGGAGAAGCAUCUUGCUUUUCCAGACGCGUCAACACCCGUCACACGCAAACUCAGCUUUGCGGAAAUCACGGGCAAUUUGUUAAAGCACCAAUCCCAGAUAUCGAAGAGGCGCCAGUCUUUUCAGCCUCGUCAUCACCUGUCAUAUGCACACUCAACUUUGCGCAAAUCACGGGCAAUUUGUCGAAGAUUUUAGGUGAAGGAGAAAGCACGUGAAAGUUUACUGUUCAAUCAUCCAACGGUUGCCGACACGAGUGAAAGAAUAAUACCUCUACAGGCGUUAAAGAACUUCCUAUAACUGUCCACCUUCACCUUCCAUAGCAAGGCAGACAUACAGAGCCUUUCUUCAUCUCCAAAAAUGCUUUCCCAACGAAGCCUCUCGAGUCACUUAGUGUUCCUUAUUCCUUGGGGUACCUCUGUAAGCCAAUAACUUCAAAGCAAAAGUAUCUCAUAUCACCAGGGUAGAAAGCAAGAGUAUCUCAUAUCAUGCGUUCUCCCUGUCGUUUCCUUUGUCCUUGCUCCUACCUACAAAGACAAGGAUAAAGAAAAUAAUAUAUGCCGGAACUUCCACUCAAACUCGGGUAAGGAACCGACUGCUUGGAACCCUUCCCUGAUUGCCUACCUAGCACUGCUCUCGAGUACUCGCCUUCCACUGCUGCUGUACUUUCAAAGAAGCUGCCACAUCUGCCUGGAGGACAGAUAAGGCAAGUGAAAAUGAUACCUUGCAGCAUGUGGAGACAAGGUGCAGAAGGAACAAGCAGAGAGAGGAAUGCGGUCUGCACGGUCAACUCAGCAGAAGGAGUCCGAACUGAGGAACUCAAGAAGCUGCCACAUCUGCCUGAAGAAACAAGCAGAGAAGAAUGCAGCAUGCACAGUCAACUCAGCAGAAAGAGUCUGAGAUGAAGAACUCGAGAAGAUGCCGCAUCUGCCUGAGGACGGUGAACUCGUUUUGACCCUCAAAUUCUUGGGUCGACUUACUAGGCGUUGUGGGCUGCACGUGCUGAUUCACCACCCUUGAAUCAAAUCCUUAAAGAUCAAGUCACCAACUGGAAUAAAAGCCCAUCAAUCUUGAAGAUCAUACCAUUGACCAAACUGCUCAGGUGUGAAUUAGAAAGAUUGAACAAAGAAACAGGUCGUCACCUUUACCUCAUGCCUGCUUGCCAUGUGUUCGAGUCAGCCUUCAAGAAUCAAGCCCCAACGGCCCUUGAAGAAGCUUCCAGCCGAAUUCAAAAUCAAGCCUCGACGGCCCUGGAAGAAAUCACAAGUCUGAUUCAAGAUCAAGUGUCUACCACCCUUGAAUCAAAACCUAGUUCAAGAAUAAGCUGUGGAAAGUCAACAAGCGCAACAAAAUACGUGCCGAUUCAUCCACUACCAAAGCCAAAGAUCAUCUACCACAUGAAGCUCCUUGUGGCCCAAUUUCAACCUUCAAGAUCAAGUCUCGACGACCCUUGAAGAAAUUUCAAACAAAAGUUCAAGAACAAGCCUCAACAGCCCUUAAAGAAAUCUCAAGCCCAAUUCAAGAUCAAGCCUCGACGGCCCUUGAAGAAAUCUCCAGCCCAAUUCAAGAUCAAGCCUCAACGGCCCUUGGAUCGACAUCUACAGUAAGGGACUUCAAAACGCAUCUCCUACACAUGACAAUCACAUGUAUACGACGCGCCUUGAAGUGGGGGCAUUUGUAGACAUCGAAAUUUCGGUAAAUAAAUGUUGACCGAUAAAUCAAAGUGUCAACGCUCAUGUAUUACAUAAAUUUUACACGUAGCGUGUGACUCAACGAAAAUUGAAAUAAGUUGGAAAAGUCAUCAAAUAGGAUACGUGUCAACACCUGGCAGAAACGACUUAUUUCAUCUGGAAUAUUAUAUUCAAAAUUAGGCCUUGGAAAAUUCUAUAAAUACAAGCCCAUUUCAUUCAUUUGAAGAACCAAUUCAUAUUACACCUUGAAGCUUUGAAGCUCUGAAACUCCGAAGCUCUCAAGCAUCCAGGUUCCCGAAGAAUCAAGAAAGCUCUCUUCGUUCUUCGUUCAUCGUUCAUCCAAGAUCAAGCCCCAACGGCCCUUUGGAUCAACAAUCAUCCACCAAUUCAAGAUCAAGCCCCGACGGCCCUUGAAGAAAGCACCAUCGUUCAUCAUCCGUUCAUCCAAGAUCAAGCCCCAACGGCCCUUUGGAUCAACAACGUCGACAAAUCCACACACAUCCAACCGUUCUUCAAGAUUAAGCCCAAAAGCCCUUGAAGAUCUGUUCAUCACUGUUUCUUCAAGAUCAAGCCCAAAAGCCCUUGAAGAUCCGCUCAUCACCGUUAUUCAAGAUCAAGCCUCAAACGGCCCUUGAAGAAACAUUCAUCCUCAAAAUCAAGCCCCAACGGCUCCUUGAAGAUCCGCUCAAAUCCACCUUCAAAGAUCAAGCCCACGGCCUUUUGAAGAAACUUCCAAACAGUUCAUCCAAGAUCAAGCCCCGACGGCCCUUGGAUCAACGAAACAUCCAUAAAUCAACACCUUAUGGAGAUCGAAUCAGAGGAUCAAAUUUGAGAGAGAUUGUAACCCAAAAAUCAUCAAAUACAAAUAUUUGUUUGUGCACGUUGUUCUUGUCUCAUUCGUUUCAGGAAUUUUCCGUGUUCACAGUAUUAUUAAUGAAUGGGCAUUAAAUUUGGUCUACGUAUUAUUCUUUGUUGAAGAUUAGACUUGAAUUAAAACGAAUAAUUAAAAAUAACAACCCACAUAGCUACUAGAUAGUAACUAAAAAUAAAUUAACAACCAAACAAAAUUUGUAAAAAUUGAAAAAAAUAAACAUGCACAUAGCAUUUCAAACUUAGGACCUCUUGUUAAUUUUAAACAACAAAAAUCAUUGUUUCUAAUUAAACUUCUUGAUCCUUUAACCAAAUUUUAUAAAUUUAUACUCUUAUAAAAAGAAAUUUGUAAAAAAUGGAAAGUAAAUAAGCACACAUGGUGUUUUAAACCCAAGACCUCCUCAUUAUUUUCAAAUGACAAACCACCACUUCUAGUUAAAUUUCUAUGUCUUUGAACCAAAUUUUAUAAAUUUAUACUCUUAUAAAAAUAUAUAUAAAUAUACCACCCUAAUAAUUUUGGUGCCCCUAAUUUUUUUGGGCCUUGGACGGUUGUCCUGCCUGCACUGGGCUUGGGCCGGCUCUGAUUGUUAACUACAUUGCAAUGUUUGAGAAUUGAAAGGAAAAUCAAGAAGAAAUGAUGAACAGAAGGAUGACCACAUAGAUAUUACAGAUAGAGAGAGUUUAGAGAGAGAAAUAAGAUUUGUAUUAACUAACCAAGGAAGAUUACACAAUUCUGUUUUUAUAAAAGAAAGUCUAACAACUCUAACCAAAUAUUAACAAACUUACUAACUGUAUUGUUGACUUGUACCCUUAAUAGGUAUAUUGUUUUCCUGCUGAUGCAUUCGGGAGAAGCCGUUAGAGUUUUAGCAUGUAGCAACUAGCAUGGAAGAAAAAGUUCAAAAAAAAAAAAAGAAUUUUACUGGAGAAUGAUGUAUAAAUAGGUUUUAUGAUGAUUUUGUUAGAGACUUGCAAAACAACUGGAAGUCGUGAGUGUUAGCUCACAUAUUUUCAAAAUAUGAUGAUUGAGUUUUUGCAAAAGUUUAGUGUUGCGAAAAUGCCACGAAAAUUACAAUGGUGUAUGCAGAAUUUUGCUAAACCAAUUAGAAACACUUACUGAUUUUGAGAAAAAUGAAACUUGUUGAACUUUUGCAUGCAUGAAAAAUGUAACAAACCAUGUGAUUAAUGAAAUAACCCAAAAAUUUUAUUUUUAUUUUUAUUAUUUUUUAUCGAUUUCAAAUUAGAAAAAAGGAAAAUCAAAUAAAAAUAAUAGCGGGGCCCUUUACAAGCCACAGAGGAAUUCCGUCAGCUUUAGCAUCUAGAAUUUCACAAAAGUAAUUAAAAAUCUGACUAUUUUUAUACAUAUUUUGUGAGAAUGUUGCUAUGCUUACUCCAUCGUCUUAUUUCCUCACCAACUUUGUUUUUCACCCACCAGAAAAAAGUUGAAAGAAGAACACUAUUUUCACACGUACCAUCAUACCUAAAAUACCCUAAUGUGAUACCAGCGCUUGACACCUCAACUCCGCUGCAGUGCUGCACCGAUUCCCAACGCCCAACCCAAGCCCACAACAAUCAUAGCACCACCAUGGCAACAAAACUCCUCACCUCCACCCAUUUUCAAGUUCCCUGCAUAGUCUGGGUGUUUGAAUUUUCUCUGGAUUUCAAGGAUUGCAAUGGAAUUCAAUGAGUGGAUUAUAUAUUUUAAAAAUUUAGAAAGAGGGGAAAUGAGAGAGAAGGGAGAUGAAGCUAAAGAUGAGGUUGGGGUCGGGAUCAGAGGCAAAUAAGGGGAUAACUUGGCGAAGCUAGAGAUGAGGUUUUUAAGGUCCUUUUAAGCCAUUUUGCAACAGGAUAACUUGGUAAAUAAAAAUAUUAUUUAACAGUGGGUGAGGAGAUAAGAUAGAGGGGUGGGAAUAACAACACUUUUUGCGAAAGGUAGAAAUAACGUUAUAAAGUUUUGAAAUCUUUUCGAAGAAAUGUUUUUAGUAAAAUCAAGUUGGAGAAUGCCUAUUUUCAUUUGACAAUUUUUCUUGUGUUAUUUUGCGGAUGAAUACAUUGAAUAGGUUGGUUGUUUCCCACACAAAUCCAUGAUGCUUGUUUUAGAUUUUGAACUAUAAAAACAAUGGAUUAUUAUUUUUUGUGUUAGGAAUAUUUUUUAAGGUGUCGCCAAUUUGGAAGAGGUAGGGUUUCUGUCUGUGCCAAAGUUUCACUCUUCAACCUGAUUAUUCCAAGUACCAUCCUAGAUUCUUUAUGUUUUCUGCCUAAACUUUUCAUUGCGUUUGGAAGCUAAUUAAUUAAUUAAGCUUUGAUAUGAUGUUAAUAAAUAGCUGGCCAGCAGAUUACAUAAUCCUUUCAAUUUCUAGUGGUUUAGUGCUGUAUUAGUUGUGUUUAAAGCACUAUUUAAUUUCAAAACCGAAGAAAAUUGGAGCUGAUAACGUGGGAAUAUUUUCCCAACAUCACACCCUUUAGAAAAAAAUUUGAGAAAGUUCCUUCAUUAGGAAUCUAGACCAAACUGGCCUCUCCCUUCAUUUCUGCAGAAAAAAACAAUUACUUGCCACACAAGGAACUUUGUCCUUAAAUUUUCGUUCACGCAGACUAUAAAUAUCGACCACUCUAUCUUUCAGUUACAACGUAACCUUAGAAAUUGUCUUAGUCACCACAUCUUUUUCUUCAGUAAUCCGUUGUUUUUCUGUAGUUCCGUCACUCAUAUUUCCAAAAUUUGCUUCCUUUUCGAAUUUCUUACAUAUAUCAAUGGGAAAUUGUCAAUCAAAAUGGCAAGCACGCCGCAAGCAAUACGAAUUUCCGGCCUCUACUGCUCCAAAUGCUUCACUUCCAAGCCAUGAUCAUACUCGCAAUUCGAAUAGCAACCAGGUCAAACUACCCAAUGUGUCUGGAGCUGAAGCUGCAGAGACUGGAAUGGCACGAGGGCACAAGGUACAGAUGAGAAUGGAAGACAAUGAUGAUGCAUUUUCUGACUUCAUUAACCGCACAAAAUUGAAGAACAGAGCUACAACCUCGAAUGCUGGUAUUGAAAAGGCUGCAUCCGCAGCAGAUGGUGUUUAUGAAACAAAGCAAGAAGAUAAUGCAUAUGAUAUGUUUACGGAUUUUGUUAAUCGCUCUAAGUCUAAGAUUAGAAAGACGUUCAGCAUCAGAAGCAACACCUCCUUUAAGAAGUAGGAGACUCAAAGUCUACAACCAUAUGCAUGGUGGUGAUUGCUGGCAUGUUCACGCGGGGAUUGUGUGCUUUCUCUCUAUCUCCCUUUUUAAUUUUUUCUCAUAUUUACGUCCUGGAUACACAGGUUAUAUGAUGUUGUCGAAUUGUCCUGUAUGCAUUUCUGAGUCAAUAAUAAAUUAUAUCAUUCUUCUUUCAUGUGUUUCUAAAGCCCAUGUACUAUUAUAAAUCUGCUCUUUUCGAGCAAUGUUAGCGAAUGUAUGAAACGGUGAUGUUAAAAUCAAGAAAGAUCCCAUCCCACAUAUUUAGGGAUCUUUAUUGUGCAUAUAAAUCAUGUGAUCCAGG